GGGCCCGCACAAGCGGUGGAGCAUGUGGUUUAAUUCGAUGAUACGCGAGGAACCUUACCAGGGCUUAAAUGUAAGUUGCAUGGAUCAGAGAUGAUCCUUUCUUCGGACCACUUACAAGGUGCUGCAUGGUUGUCGUCAGCUCGUGCCGUGAGGUGUCAGGUUAAGUCCUAUAACGAGCGCAACCCCUAUCGUUAGUUGCCAGCAAGUUAAGUUGGGUACUCUAGUGAGACUGCCGGUGACAAACCGGAGGAAGGCGGGGACGACGUCAAGUCAUCAUGGCCCUUACGAGUAGGGCUACACACGUGCUACAAUGGCAAGUACAGAGGGCCGCGAAGCCGCGAGGUGGAGCUAAUCUCACAAAGCUUGUCGUAGUCCGGAUUGGAGUCUGCAACUCGACUCCAUGAAGUCGGAAUCGCUAGUAAUCG
rnacentral:rRNA from 1 species